AUGAGCAGUGCGGCGGAUGCGCAGUCCGGGAAUAGCGGUGACAUGAGAUCGAAUCUGGAUGAUUUCAUGGAGCAACUGAAUCUAGAGGAUGAAGUGUUCGACGAUCUGAUUAUCAAUGAAGAUGACCCGGAGAUCAAUGAAAGUGUACGAUGGCUUACCCUAGCUAGGGUUCACACGGAGAAAUCCUUUAGCCACAUGGCCUUCUAUAAGGAUAUGCGCGCGGCAUGGAACCCGACGCAACAGGUGAGAUUUCGGCCAGCGGGCCCCAAACUGUUCGUCGUCCAGGCGUCCUGGCUCGGCGACUAUGAAAGCAUGAUAGAUCAGGGACCCUGGCUGUUCAGGAACUCUGCCGUUCUGAUGUGUCCCUAUGACGGAUUUACUAAGGCAGAGGAGGUUCCGAUGUUUUUCAUGCCGAUAUGGCUUUAG
rnacentral:rRNA from 1 species